AGUAUGAAGGACCAAAAUCGUGCGCAAGAGGGUGGUGCAUGGGUCAAACAACACAGGACCUUCACCCAAGAGACCGGGGUUUGUAUCCUCUUCUUGUCCUGCGUGUCACUGAAACGGACAUUUUGUAACCCCACCCAUGAUCUUUUCCUAAAUCUCACAGUCCCGUUCUUGAGCCGCAUGUCA